rnacentral:lncRNA from 1 species
CGGGUUCAGGGAGAACCGUGCCUGACCUUUGGCAAGCUGUGUUUAAUUUUGCACUGAUACUUCGGUAACUAGCCCAGAGUUACGCAGCUCCUAAGAAGAAAAUGGACCUGGCCUUGCACUGAAUUUCCACCCCCUGAAGCCCGGAGUUGUGCUGCUUCUGAAAGUUUUUUUCUGGCAACCCUAGCGAAGUCCCAGGUCCUCUGAAUCCCUCCAGCUGCUUUUUUCUAACGAGCGCUGAUUACGAC